rnacentral:sRNA from 5 species
AUAUCUCUCUGUACGGGAAGGAUGAGAAGCUUCGACUAAGGUUCGAUUCGAGCGCAGCGAGAAAGCGUUGCCGCAGGCAACGACCCGAAGGGUGAAGCGCGCAGCGCUGAGUCAUCCUUCCCCCACCACCA